UGCCCCAUGGCUGAGUUGGUUACAGCGUCCGACUGUUAUUUAGACUGUAUCGGAAGGUCGAGAGUUCGAGCCUCUCUGGGGCAG
rfam:Lentinula edodes NBRC 111202 DNA, contig: scaffold118.